rnacentral:rRNA from 1 species
UACGUAGGGUGCAAGCGUUAAUCGGAAUUACUGGGCGUAAAGCGUGCGCAGGCGGUUCGCUAAGACAGAUGUGAAAUCCCCGGGCUUAACCUGGGAACUGCAUUUGUGACUGGCGGGCUAGAGUAUGGCAGGAGGGGGGUAGAAUUCCACGUGUAGCAGUGAAAUGCGUAGAGAUGUGGAGGAAUACCGAUGGCGAAGGCAGCCCCCUGGGCCAAUACUGACGCUCAUGCACGAAAGCGUGGGGAGCAAACAGG